CUUAAAUUCUUCUGUAAUUUUCCUGCUACUGAUUAUAAAUUAAGAAAGUUCACUUGUCAUGUUUUGUAUUGUUGGAAUUUCGGAACCCUCUUGUUCAUCCGUUUAAAGCACCAUGAAACAAUUGCCAGCUAACUCCCAGUUUUCAAAAAUCUUUAAAUGUGCAGUAUGUCAUUGAUACGAUUUGAGUUCUCAAAAUGAAUCAAGAUAAAAUAAGGAUAAUAAGACAUUUGUAAAAAAAUAUAAAACCCUUGUUAUGUUUUAUUACUUUUUGAGAACAUCUUUAUGUUAAAGAUAUGAAUCAAAGUACUGAAGUACUGAACAUCGGAUGACCGCAAGUUCUUGUGGACGGUCACAAGCACUUGUCUCAGAAAACCAAAUCACAUCUCUUUACCUGAAAGUGACGUUAAAGUACAGAUAUAUAUUUUUUCUGUGCUUGGAUGAUAAAU
rnacentral:lncRNA from 1 species